GCCUGUUAUCUCUAUCAAGAUGAUUCUAAUUCGUCAGAUAUUAUUUAUUCUAGUAUCUGGAACACGAAAUAGAUAGAGUGGAUCAAAAAAGGAACUAUGAUUCAUACUCACUAUUAAGACCUCGCAACCAGACUGAAAAAUUCAAGUAGUUCUUAA
rnacentral:rRNA from 1 species